rnacentral:misc_RNA from 1 species
GUCCUACAGCAUGAGUAUUUCUCAUCAAAUUCAGGAUGCUUAGCACCAGCAUCAUGAUUAUCAGACAGGCAACUUUUAAGAGUCGCUUCAGAGAAAACAACAUCAGAACCAAGUUGUUCUUUACAGCCAGGAGCAGGGCACGUAUUUUCAUCCCCUGUCAAGUAGUCUGACAGACAUUGAUAGCAGAAAACAUGGCCACACAUGGUAACAACAGGGUCCUCAGGAGGAUCAUUGCAUGCGCGGCAGAUUGCAGAGGAAGUAGCCAAGCAUUUCAAUAGAUCAAUCACCAUAUCAUUAGGGAGUCUCCUUGCCAUUUCUGUAGAAACUUUUCCAAACAAGUCAGAAUUAAAACCUUUAACAAGAAGAGGGUGGUCACAGGCCUGACGAAGUCGCAAAAGCAUCAAAAGAAUGUUUGCAUAGUUUUGGUUCACUGUACCAGCAGCAGCAUAAGCCUUGAAUUUAGAACGUGAAUCAGCCUCUAGGCGGGUAUAGAAAGCUCGCUCCUCUGCUGAGAAAUCUACCUUCUUCAAGUAUAUUGAUUUUGGAGGUAACUUAAUUAUGGGCUCCCCAUCAAUUAAUGUUCCUUUUGUACGACGCAGCAUUAUUGCCCUAAGAACUGCUUGUAGUUUCUUGUAACCAUGGAGUGAAUUUCUAGAUAUUGGAACCUUUAUUGUGGAGUAAAAAGAUUUGUAGACAGCAUAAGGAUCGUAUCUGAGAAACCUGAAAUAGCUAUACAAAUCAUCAAUUGCAUUUUGAAUAGGUGUUCCGGAUAAGCACCACCUUCUUUUGGCACGAAGGCUGCAGCAGGCUCUAGCAACUUGAGUUCGAUGAUUUUUAAUCGAUUGGGCUUCAUCUAGUAUCACCCUAGACCAAGUAACCCUAGCAAGUGGACCACAAUCAUAAUCAAUAGAGGAAUUAUCUAUUCCCUUCCUACCCUUCUUUCUUUUCUUACUAACAUUAGUCGUCUUCUUCUUCUUCUUAUUAAUUGAAAAUUCAGAAGAUAAUCCAUACUUCUCCCCAUCCUUUUCAUCAACCUCAUCCUCAUCAACUAGAGGUUGCUUUGGAACUUCGUUAGUCACAAUAGAAUAUGUUGUCAGAAUGACAUCAUACUUAGCCAAUUCAACAGGAUCCUUUGUCCGACUACCUCCAUGGUAAACAAGAAAAGUAAGCUUAGCUUCAUCUGCAACUUUAUCAUCCAAUUCCCUUGCCCAUUGCCGAAGAAUACU